AGGACAAGUUUAGCAGCGUUAAGGUGUCUGCUCUCGCUCCGAAAGGCACUUGUGUGUUCUGCUUACCGACACGGUCAUGGUCAAGCCCCUGAUAUCUGGAGGUCGCAGGCCUGCUGGCAGUUGUGGCUGCUUGAAGUCCUCCUUUACUGCCUUCUUUUUGGGAAGGAAACUGUUACAAAAAGAAGAUCAGAGAUUGGGAGAAAGGAUGAUUUUUCUGGGAGGAAAAAAUGAAGGCAUUGUGAUGUGGUGCCC